UCUGAACCCACCGCAUCAAUUGGAGUGCAAGAUGGGGAUGCAACAGCUAAUGAUAUACAGAUUGCUUUGCAAGUUGAUCCUCCUCUAUCUAAUCCUGUUGAUGCUGUAGCAUCAGAUGAUUCUAGUCACAGAGCAGCAGGCACAGGACCUGUAGCUUGUGCGGAUGCGGAACCUAUAGUCAGUAGGGUAGGACAUCAGCCAAGCAGUGAAAAUUGUUUCACCAAUCAAUUUCCUCAGUUAGAAAACCGAGUUCAGAUCUCUAAUCAAGCUCUUUCAAAGCAGCUUGUAACAAGUUCUGCAGUCAAUCCUUCCACUGAUGUGCAGGCUCUCCAAGGUGUAUGU
rnacentral:lncRNA from 1 species